UUUUUUCCUUGCUUCUUUGCAUUUUAAUGCCUGUUGAACCUCAUUCAAUAGUUCGAAUGUGAAAGAUAUGAUGUUAAAAAAAUAAAUUUUUAGCAGUCGAUUUAGAGUUUUAAGAGAGUGGCUCUAUUAGGACGUAGAAUGUUGCAUCUCGAUAAAGAUACCUUGGUAUGUGUUUUCACAAGGUUAUGGUUUGUGAAAAUUGCAGUCUAACAUAUGCAGGAAACUUUUGGAAGUUAAUAAAAUAAUAAGUUCAAAUAGAGAACAUAGUUGUUUGGUAAUUUUAGUUACGGUUCGAUUUAUUUGUUCUGUUCACCAUCUUAAUUGCCAGAUAUCCUUUCGCAUAUCACAACAAUUAAAUUGAAUCACACUGUACUGAUAAUCUGUAUCAGAUGAUAAUUUUGAGUAAGAAAGCUAACAUUCUCUUAUUUUUAGUGUGUUUGAGAACCUAAAAUUUUAUAUUAUGGAUUAACGCAUGUCUAAAUGGAAUGCCAUUGGUACUGAGGAGUAUACCACCCAACCCCAACUAGCUUGGAAGCAGAUUGGGUUUUUUUUUUUUUUUUUGGCAAUGUGCAAGUAAAUACAAAAUAUGUAGUAAUAAUAUAAUUGUCACACCUAAGGGUAUGACAAUUGGUGGCAAAUUUUACCCAAAUUUGUAUAACCCGCCCAUAAUUAACCCGUAUUCAACCCGCUCAUUUAUGAAAAGGAAAAAUCCUCAAGUCAAGAUGCCUUUUGUCAAGAAUGGAAGUGAGAUGUCAAACAUACCAUAUGACUAAAUAGACCCCUCUUUUUGUGAGUUGGGACAUGUGAAAACAUCCCCACUCUCCGUAAGGCGUUGAAUUUUUGGAGUCCAAGUUUCAAUCGCCAAUUCCAAUCUAAGAGGUGAUUACAUCAAAAAAUGAUCAUUACAAUGUACUAUCUAGUAUAGGUAGUCAUGUGGAUUGCUCAUUUCCCUGUACAAUGUUUUGGAAUAUACCUCCUUUCCCUUUUUAGUAGAAUUUUUUUCCAUUGUAGAGAAGAAGAGCAAUUUGACAGCUAAUUUUCAUUAAUUUCCACCAAACAAAUUCUCAUUUAGUAUCAUCUAUACAAGUCGUGGAAGGAGUUAAUGAACAAGACAAUCAUUAUCAUAAUACUGAUCAUGCUAUUGUUGAUGUAGACAUCCAGGUUCUUCUAACAAUGAUAUUGCAGAACAUAGUAAUAUUGCAGAACAAGAUGAAAUAUUAAAGUGUGUCCUAAAGAGUUCGCAUACAUGAUGAGCUGUAUGAUUUUUACAUGAAACAUGCCCAAAUGAAAGGGUUCAGUGUAAAAAGACACGAUUAAAACCACUUAGGGCAGUUACCUUAUUUCGGUGUGUUCAAAUGUGAUAAGGGAGACAAGUCUCACGGCAGCGCAAAGUAUAGUAAAAGAGUUGAGUGCAAUACGCGACUUAAUUCCAAUGGAGCAACGACGCAUUUUGUGACUUUUUCAGGACCCUAUUAAAUGCUUGCCUCUGUCCAGCCAUGACCCAAGACAUAUUAGUGAAUAAAUCA